AGUGAACGCUGGCGGUAGGCCUAACACAUGCAAGUCGAACGGCAGCACAGUAAGAGCUUGCUCUUACGGGUGGCGAGUGGCGGACGGGUGAGGAAUACAUCGGAAUCUACUUUUUCGUGGGGGAUAACGUAGGGAAACUUACGCUAAUACCGCAUACGACCUACGGGUGAAAGCAGGGGAUCUUCGGACCUUGCGCGAUUGAAUGAGCCGAUGUCGGAUUAGCUAGUUGGCGGGGUAAAGGCCCACCAAGGCGACGAUCCGUAGCUGGUCUGAGAGGAUGAUCAGCCACACUGGAACUGAGACACGGUCCAGACUCCUACGGGAGGCAGCAGUGGGGAAUAUUGGACAAUGGGCGCAAGCCUGAGCCAGCCAUACCGCGUGGGUGAAGAAGGCCUUCGGGUUGUAAAGCCCUUUUGUUGGGAAAGAAAAGCAGCAGGUUAAUACCCCGCUGUUCUGACGGUACCCAAAGAGUAAGCACCGGCUAACUUCGU
rnacentral:rRNA from 1 species